rnacentral:rRNA from 1 species
CAGUAGCCGCGGGAAUACGGAGGGGGCUAGCGUUGUUCGGAAUUACUGGGCGUAAAGCGCACGUAGGCGGCUUGGUAAGUUAGAGGUGAAAGCCCGGAGCUCAACUCCGGAAUUGCCUUUAAGACUGCCGAGCUAGCAGGUGAGAGAGGUAAGUGGAAUUCCGAGUGUAGAGGUGAAAUUCGUAGAUAUUCGGAAGAACACCAGUGGCGAAGGCGGCUUACUGGCUCAUACUGGACGCUGAGGUGCGAAAGCGUGGGGAGCAAACAGGAUUAGAGACCCCGGUAGUCCCUGUCUCUUAUAC